rnacentral:rRNA from 1 species
GACGGAGGGUGCAAGCGUUGUUCGGAUUGACUGGGCGUAAGGGCGUGUAGGCGGUUGGUCAAGUCUGAUGUGAAAGCCCGGGGCUCAGCCCCGGAAGGGCAUCGGAAACUAGCCAGCUGGAGCGCGAUAGAGGAGGGUGGAAUUCCUGGUGUAGCGGUGAAAUGCGUAGAUAUCAGGAGGAACACCGGCGGCGAAGGCGGCCCUCUGGAUCGUUGCUGACGCUGAGACGCGAAAGCGUGGGGAGCAAACAGG